rnacentral:rRNA from 1 species
UCCAUGCUUCCAAGAAAAGCAUCUAGAGAGAGAAGUAGUGCCCGUACCGCAAACCGACACAGGUAGAUGAGGAGAGAAUCCUAAGGCCGGCGGAAGAAUUGCAGUUAAGGAACUAGGCAAAUUGACCCCGUAAGUUAGCGAGAAGGGGUGCCUGCGAGAGCAGGCCGCAGAGAAUAGGCCCAAGCAACUGUUUAGCAAAAACACAGGUCUCUGCUAAAGCGCAAGCUGAUGUAUAGGGGCUGACGCCUGCCCGGUGCUGGAAGGUUAAGGGGAACACUUAGCGCAAGCGAAGGUGUGAACUUAAGCCCCAGUAAACGGCGGCCGUAACAAUAACGGUCCUAAGGUAGCGAAAUUCCUUGUCAGGUAAGUUCUGACCCGCACGAAUGGCGUAAUGACUUGGGCACUGUCUCAACUGCAAAUCCGGCGAAGUUGUAGUGCGAGUGAAGAUGCUCGCUACCCGCGAUUGGACGGAAAGACCCCGUAGAGCUUUACUGUAGCUUAGCAUUGAAUUCCGGUAUUGUCUGUACAGGAUAGGUGGGAGACUGGGAAACUAGGGCGUCAGCCUUGGUGGAGUCGUCCUUGGGAUACCACCCUGACAGUACUGGGGUUCUAACAGGACGCCAUGAAUCUGGUGACUGGACAUUGUUAGGUGGGCAGUUUGACUGGGGCGGUCGCCUCCUAAAAAGUAACGGAGGCGCCCAAAGGUUCCCUCAGAACGGUCGGAAAUCGUUCGUAGAGUGCAAAGGCAGAAGGGAGCCUGACUGCGAGACCUACAAGUCGAGCAGGGACGAAAGUCGGGCUUAGUGAUCCGGUGGUACCUCGUGGGAGGGCCAUCGCUCAACGGAUAAAAGCUACCUCGGGGAUAACAGGCUGAUCUCCCCCAAGAGUCCACAUCGACGGGGAGGUUUGGCACCUCGAUGUCGGCUCGUCGCAUCCUGGGGCUGUAGUAGGUCCCAAGGGUUGGGCUGUUCGCCAUUAAAGCGGCACGCGAGCUGGGUUCAGAACGUCGUGAGACAGUUCGGUCCCUAUCCGUCGCGGGCGUAGGAAAUUUGAGAGGAGCUGUCCUUAGUACGAGAGGACCGGGAUGGACUGACCUCUGGUGCACCAGUUGUUCUGCCAAGAGCAUGGCUGGGUAGCUAAGUCAGGAAGGGAUAAACGCUGAAAGCAUCUAAGCGUGAAGCCUCCCUCAAGAUGAGAUUUCCCAUAGCAUAAGCUAGUAAGACCCCUUGAAGAACGCGAGGUUGAUAGGUCAGAGGUGUAAGUGUGGUAACAUAUUUAGCUGACUGAUACUAAUAGGUCGAGGGCUUGACCAU